GGCGGCGUGCUAUACAUGCAAGUCGAGCGAACAGGAGAAGGAGCUUGCUCCUUUCGACGUUAGCGGCGGACGGGUGAGUAACACGUGGGCAACCUACCUUAUAGUUUGGGAUAACUCCGGGAAACCGGGGCUAAUACCGAAUAAUCUAUUUUACUUCAUGGUGAAAUACUGAAAGACGGUUUCGGCUGUCGCUAUAAGAUGGGCCCGCGGCGCAUUAGCUAGUUGGUGAGGUAACGGCUCACCAAGGCGACGAUGCGUAGCCGACCUGAGAGGGUGAUCGGCCACACUGGGACUGAGACACGGCCCAGACUCCUACGGGAGGCAGCAGUAGGGAAUCUUCCACAAUGGGCGAAAGCCUGAUGGAGCAACGCCGCGUGAGUGAAGAAGGUUUUCGGAUCGUAAAACUCUGUUGUAAGGGAAGAACAAGUACAGUAGUAACUGGCUGUACCUUGACGGUACCUUAUUAGAAAGCCACGGCUAACUACGUGCCAGCAGCCGCGGUAAUACGUAGGUGGCAAGCGUUGUCCGGAAUUAUUGGGCGUAAAGCGCGCGCAGGCGGUCCUUUAAGUCUGAUGUGAAAGCCCACGGCUCAACCGUGGAGGGUCAUUGGAAACUGGGGGACUUGAGUGCAGAAGACGAAAGUGGGAUUCCCAGUGUAGCGGUGAAAUGCGUAGAGAUUUGGAGGGACCCCAGUGGCAAAGGCGACUUUCUGGGCUGGAACUGACCCUGAGGCGCGAAAGCGUGGGGAGCAAACAGGAUUAAUUACCCUGGGUGUC
rnacentral:rRNA from 1 species